rnacentral:tRNA from 1 species
GGGCUCGUGGCGCAGCGGUAGCGCGCCUCGUUUGCAACGAGGAGGUCUGGGGUUCGAAUCCCCCCGAGUCCAC